UACGGAGGGUGCAAGCGUUAUCCGGAUUCACUGGGUUUAAAGGGUGCGUAGGAGGGCAGGUAAGUCAGUGGUGAAAUCUCCAAGCUUAACUUGGAAACUGCCGUUGAUACUAUAAAUCUUGAAUGUUGUGGAGGUGAGCGGAAUAUGUCAUGUAGCGGUGAAAUGCUUAGAUAUGACAUAGAAAACCAAUUGCGAAGGCAGCUCACUACACAAAGAUUGACACUGAGGCACGAAAGCGUGGGGAUCAAACAGG
rnacentral:rRNA from 1 species